rnacentral:rRNA from 1 species
AUUGAACGCUGGCGGCAGGCCUAACACAUGCAAGUCGAACGAGUGGCGGACGGGUGAGUAAUGUCUGGGAAACUGCCUGAUGGAGGGGGAUAACUACUGGACACGGUAGCUAAUACCGCAUACCAUCGGAUGUGCCCAUAUGGGAUUAGCUAGUUGGUGGGGUAACGGCUCACCAAGGCGACGAUCCCUAGCUGGUCUGAGAGGAUGACCAGCCACACGGGAAAGGAGACACGGUCCAGAGUCCUACGGGAGGCAGCAGUGGGGAACAUGGCACAAUGGGGGCAAGCAUGAUGCAGCCAUGCAGCGUGUAUGAAGAAGGCCUUCGGGUUGUAAAGUACUUUCAGCGGGGAGGCGUUACCCGCAGAAGAAGCACCGACUAACUCCGUGCCAGCAGCCGCGGUAAUUC